CAACACCUGUUGUCCUCACUGAAGUUGGGUAUAUCUCUGGCGCAUAAAUGUAAACAACUGCGAAGGUUCCCGUUAUGCAUAUUCGAGCUCCAAAGAGAAGGACUAUUGUUACAGCUUCAGACUGGUGGACUACCAGUGGUAGCAUGAAUAUGCAACAGAUGAAGAACAUAACCGCCAUUGAAAGUUUACGACCGAAUUUAUCAACUGUGAAAGCUGAAAUAAUGAGCCCCGGAAGCUCUGCAAAAGUAGUGAUGAAAACAUUUUUAUAGUUAACGCUCCCAGACUUUUGUGACCGCAGUUCAUUUGGAUUGCAUUUAUUAUUUCCACUGUUCAACUCAGUGGUCAGCAACACAAGGCCAUAGUAUGAAAAUGCAUUCCCAAAAAAUACAACCCAUAAGAGCAAGGUUGAC
rnacentral:misc_RNA from 1 species